rnacentral:rRNA from 1 species
AUGGAUGAGGUCACAAGGGAUAUACAAGGAGAUAUCCCAUGGUGUAUGCUCUUUGCGGAUGAUGUGGUGCUAGUUGACGAUAGUCGGACGGGGGUAAAUAGGAAGUUAGAGUUAUGGAGACAAACCUUGGAAUCGAAAGGGUUUAGGCUUAGUAGAACUAAAACCGAGUACAUGAUGUGCGGUUUCUGUACUACUAGGUGUGAGGAGGAGGUUAGCCUUGAUGGCCAGGUGGUACCUCAGAAGGACACCUUUCGGUAUUUGGGGUCAAUGCUGCAGGAGGAUGGGGGUAUUGAUGAAGAUGUGAACAAUCGAAUCAAAGCCGGAUGGAUGAAGUGGCGCCAAGCUUCUGGCAUUCUCUGUGACAAGAGAGUGCCACAAAAGCUAAAAGGCAAGUUCUAG